rnacentral:rRNA from 1 species
CCUACGGGAGGCAGCAGUGAGGAAUAUUGGUCAAUGGCCGGAAGGCUGAACCAGCCAUGCCGCGUGAAGGUCAGUGCCCUAUGGGCGUUAAACUUCUUUUGUGCGGGAGCAAUAAUGGUCACGUGUGGCCAGACGAGAGUACCGUACGAAUAAGCAUCGGCUAACUCCGUGCCAGCAGCCGCGGUAAUACGGGGGAUGCAAGCGUUAUUCGGCUUUUUUGGGUUUAAAGGGGGCAGAGGCUGUGAGGUAAGUCAGCGGUGAAAUGCCCCGGCUCAACGGGGUGAAGGGCCAUUGAUACGGCCUUGCUGGAAUGCGGAUGCCGUGGGAGAAAUGUGUGGUGUGGCGGUGAAAGGCAUAGAUAUCACACAGAACCCCGAUUGCAAGGGCGUCUCACGAAUCCGCGAUUGAGG